rnacentral:rRNA from 1 species
GACGAACGCUGGCGGCGUGCCUAAUACAUGCAAGUAGAACGCUGAAGGAGGAGCUUGCUUCUCUGGAUGAGUUGCGAACGGGUGAGUAACGCGUAGGUAACCUGCCUGGUAGCGGGGGAUAACUAUUGGAAACGAUAGCUAAUACCGCAUAAGAGUAGAUGUUGCAUGACAUUUACUUAAAAGGUGCAAUUGCAUCACUACCAGAUGGACCUGCGUUGUAUUAGCUAGUUGGUGAGGUAACGGCUCACCAAGGCAACGAUACAUAGCCGACCUGAGAGGGUGAUCGGCCACACUGGGACGGAGACACGGCCCAGACUCCUACGGGAGGCAGCAGUAGGGAAUCUUCGGCAAUGGACGGAAGUCUGACCGAGCAACGCCGCGUGAGUGAAGAAGGGUUUCGGAUCGUAAAGCUCUGUUGUAAGAGAAGAACGAGUGUGAGAGUGGAAAGUUCACACUGUGACGGUAUCUUACCAGAAAGGGACGGCUAACUACGUG